rnacentral:rRNA from 1 species
GUGAGGAAUAUUGGUCAAUGGACGGAAGUCUGAACCAGCCAUGCCGCGUGCAGGAAUAAGGUCCUAUGGAUUGUAAACUGCUUUUAUUCGGGAAUAAACCUCUUUACGUGUAGGGAGCUGAAGGUACCGAAGGAAUAAGCACCGGCUAACUCCGUGCCAGCAGCCGCGGUAAUACGGAGGGUGCAAGCGUUAUCCGGAAUCAUUGGGUUUAAAGGGUCCGCAGGCGGGCUAUCAAGUCAGAGGUGAAAUCCCACAGCUUAACUGUGGAACUGCCUUUGAAACUGAUGGUGUUGAAUUAAGUGGGCGUUGGCGGAAUAUGACAUGUAGCGGUGAAAUGCAUAGAUAUGUCAUGGAACACCGAAAGCGAAGGCAGCUAACGAUACUUAUAUUGACGCUCAUGGACGAAAGCGUGGGUAGCGAACAGGAUUAGAAACCCUGGUAGUCC